rnacentral:rRNA from 1 species
AGAGUUUGAUCCUGGCUCAGGAUGAACGCUGGCGGCGUGCUUAACACAUGCAAGUCGAACGAUGAAGCCCAGCUUGCUGGGUGGAUUAGUGGCGAACGGGUGAGUAACACGUGAGUAACCUGCCCUUAACUCUGGGAUAAGCCUGGGAAACUGGGUCUAAUACCGGAUAGGAGCGCCUACCGCAUGGUGGGUGUUGGAAAGAUUUAUCGGUUUUGGAUGGACUCGCGGCCUAUCAGCUUGUUGGUGAGGUAAUGGCUCACCAAGGCGACGACGGGUAGCCGGCCUGAGAGGGUGACCGGCCACACUGGGACUGAGACACGGCCCAGACUCCUACGGGAGGCAGCAGUGGGGAAUAUUGCACAAUGGGCGCAAGCCUGAUGCAGCGACGCCGCGUGAGGGAUGACGGCCUUCGGGUUGUAAACCUCUUUCAGUAGGGAAGAAGCGAAAGUGACGGUACCUGCAGAAGAAGCACCGGCUAACUACGUGCCAGCAGCCGCGGUAAUACGUAGGGUGCGAGCGUUAUCCGGAAUUAUUGGGCGUAAAGAGCUCGUAGGCGGUUUGUCGCGUCUGUCGUGAAAGUCCGGGGCUUAACCCCGGAUCUGCGGUGGGUACGGGC